rnacentral:rRNA from 1 species
CUGGCGGCGUGCUUAACACAUGCAAGUCGAACGGAAAGGCCCUGCUUUUGUGGGGUGCUCGAGUGGCGAACGGGUGAGUAACACGUGAGUAACCUGCCCUUGACUUUGGGAUAACUUCAGGAAACUGGGGCUAAUACCGGAUAGGAGCUCCUGCUGCAUGGUGGGGGUUGGAAAGUUUCGGCGGUUGGGGAUGGACUCGCGGCUUAUCAGCUUGUUGGUGGGGUAGUGGCUUACCAAGGCUUUGACGGGUAGCCGGCCUGAGAGGGUGACCGGCCACAUUGGGACUGAGAUACGGCCCAGACUCCUACGGGAGGCAGCAGUGGGGAAUAUUGCACAAUGGGCGGAAGCCUGAUGCAGCAACGCCGCGUGCGGGAUGACGGCCUUCGGGUUGUAAACCGCUUUCGCCUGUGACGAAGCGUGAGUGACGGUAAUGGGUAAAGAAGCACCGGCUAACUACGUGCCAGCAGCCGCGGUGAUACGUAGGGUGCGAGCGUUGUCCGGAUUUAUUGGGCGUAAAGGGCUCGUAGGUGGUUGAUCGCGUCGGAAGUGUAAUCUUGGGGCUUAACCCUGAGCGUGCUUUCGAUACGGGUUGACUUGAGGAAGGUAGGGGAGAAUGGAAUUCCUGGUGGAGCGGUGGAAUGCGCAGAUAUCAGGAGGAACACCAGUGGCGAAGGCGGUUCUCUGGGCCUUUCCUGACGCUGAGGAGCGAAAGCGUGGGGAGCGAACAGGCUUAGAUACCCUGGUAGUCCACGCUGUAAACGGUGGGUACUAGGUGUGGGGUCCAUUCCACGGGUUCCGUGCCGUAGCUAACGCUUUAAGUACCCCGCCUGGGGAGUACGGCCGCAAGGCUAAAACUCAAAGGAAUUGACGGGGCCCCGCACAAGCGGCGGAGCAUGCGGAUUAAUUCGAUGCAACGCGUAGAACCUUACCUGGGUUUGACAUGGAUCGGGAGUGCUCAGAGAUGGGUGUGCCUCUUUUGGGGUCGGUUCACAGGUGGUGCAUGGCUGUCGUCAGCUCGUGUCGUGAGAUGUUGGGUUAAGUCCCGCAACGAGCGCAACCCUUGUUCACUGUUGCCAGCACGUUAUGGUGGGGACUCAGUGGAGACCGCCGGGGUCAACUCGGAGGAAGGUGGGGAUGACGUCAAGUCAUCAUGCCCCUUAUGUCCAGGGCUUCACGCAUGCUACAAUGGCUGGUACAGAGAGUGGCGAGCCUGUGAGGGUGAGCGAAUCUCGGAAAGCCGGUCUCAGUUCGGAUUGGGGUCUGCAACUCGACCUCAUGAAGUCGGAGUCGCUAGUAAUCGCAGAUCAGCAACGCUGCGGUGAAUACGUUCCCGGGGCUUGUACACACCGCCCGUCAAGUCAUGAAAGUUGGUAACACCCGAAGCCGGUGGCCUAACCGUUGUGGGGGAGCCGUCGAAGGUGGGACUGG